GUCCACGCCCUAAACGAUGUCGACUGGUUGUUGGGGAAGGAAACUUCCUUAGUAACGAAGCUAACGCGUGAAGUCGACCGCCUGGGGAGUACGGCCGCAAGGUUAAAACUCAAAGGAAUUGACGGGGACCCGCACAAGCGGUGGAUUAUGUGGAUUAAUUCGAUGCAACGCGAAAAACCUUACCUACCCUUGACAUGGCAGGAAUCCCGAUGAGAGUCGGGAGUGCCCGAAAGGGAGCCUGCACACAGGUGCUGCAUGGCUGUCGU
rnacentral:rRNA from 1 species